CUCAUGUGGGAGCUGGGGACCAAGCGAGCUAAAGCCUAACUGGUCAGAUAUUCAUAUCUGGGGUUUUAUCCACUUUCACAGCAUUUUCCAAGAAAUAGUAGUUCUUCGCUGGAAGAGUUUGACAGAUAUUCAGACUUUGAUGAGAUGUAUAUCUAGCAUUGAUUGGAAUAGAGAAGUUUAAUAUGAUCAUAAAGCAGAAGCAUGAACUUUUGCUGUUGGUUCUGUUUGUGCAUCAUUAAAAGGGAUGGAGAAAGUCAUUAAGGAAAAAUUAAAUUGUCGUAAAUACCAGCAAUAUUUCAGUGAGGAUGCAUGUGGGUGUAUUUAAAUUGGUCAAGAUUCUCUUCAAUGUUUUCUGAGAAAUGAAGAUAGAAACUGCUGCCUCCGUGUUGCUCAACACGCCGGGCAUUUGAAAGGGCUUUUAGGUGAAUGUGGAGCCAAAGUGUCUGUCUCCGCCCACUCUCCUUUUGCCAAAGAGAAGCUGGGCAUGAACGACAGAUUGCAGCUUCAGUCCUGGAAACUGAAGUCUCUUGAGGCUUAAUCCAAAGAGCAACAACGACAUCAUGAAAGCUUGUCCUGCUCCACUGAAAAACCAAGCAGCUGACUGCAGGUGUGACUGCAGUCAGACUCCAAUGGUCAAAUUCACAGCAGAGAGAGGCUUCAGUGUGGUCAGUUGAAGCUGCCAAAGACAGAAGCACUGUAAAGCCGUGUCCUUCUCCAAGGCAGCAGCUCACCCUCCUGUACCGGUACAUGAUUCAGAAAUGAGGCAGUGACUUGGAUGGUGCACACAUGUCUCUUUUUGAUGACAAGGAAGGAAAAGGAAAUGCUGAUAGCAUCAGCCUAGCAUUCUCUCAGGAAAGACCUAAACACCAGAUCUUCCUCAACCUGAGAAGAUUUAGAGCUCAAACCCAGUGUAAGCUCUCCAGAGCAUCUAAAGCAUCUCAGGAGAAUAUCACCUGAACAAUAAUUAAGCUUCAUAGUGUGCUAACUUGGAUUUUAUCCCUAACCUCCAUUUUGUAACCUAUAAGUACUUAGCCAUUCAUUCUGCACACAUUCAGAAAUCACAGAUCAAAGCUGUGUUUCUCAGACUGGCCAGCAGCAAACCAAAUCUUUUUGGGAGGGGUGAUAAGAGAAGGAAUUGUAAUGGGGCAAAUGAUCGAAUGGCACUGGCUGCAUUUCUUUCGCUCAAGAAGCUGAUAAAAACAUUUGUCUCUAAGUCUUAUGCACAAUGAGAUACAAAUAAGUUCCAGUAAUUACAAGAGAAAGUAUUUCACAGUGGAACAAGAGGAAGAAACAAAUCUGAAAGGCAGCUGUUGCUCUGCAAGAUCAGUGUGAUUGCUACAGAAUUUCUGCUCUAAACCUUCCAGUAGAAUAUCCACACCUACACACAUGCUUGGCAUGAAACACUCCUGUGAAAGCAUUAACUCUGUAGAGAAGAAGAGGUAGGUAUGACUUUCUCUUU